rnacentral:rRNA from 1 species
AAUAGAUACCCCGGUAGUCCACGCCGUAAACGAUGAGUGCUAAGUGUUAGAGGGUUUCCGCCCUUUAGUGCUGAAGUUAACGCAUUAAGCACUCCGCCUGGGGAGUACGGCCGCAAGGCUGAAACUCAAAGGAAUUGACGGGGGCCCGCACAAGCGGUGGAGCAUGUGGUUUAAUUCGAAGCAACGCGAAGAACCUUACCAGGUCUUGACAUCCUCUGACAACCCUAGAGAUAGGGCUUCUCCUUCGGGAGCAGAGUGACAGGUGGUGCAUGGUUGUCGUCAGCUCGUGUCGUGAGAUGUUGGGUUAAGUCCCGCAACGAGCGCAACCCUUGAUCUUAGUUGCCAUCAUUAAGUUGGGCACUCUAAGGUGACUGCCGGUGACAAACCGGAGGAAGGUGGGGAUGACGUCAAAUCAUCAUGCCCCUUAUGACCUGGGCUACACACGUGCUACAAUGGACGGUACAAAGAGCUGCAAGACCGCGAGGUGGAGCUAAUCUCAUAAAACCGUUCUCAGUUCGAGUGUUAGGCGUGCUAACC